AGAACAUGUAAAGCCUUGCUAGAGUUCUUUAAAAAUACCAGCACUCUCUAUUCUGUUUCAGGUAAACAUAAAUACAACCUCGUUUAUGACAUUUUCCCAAAGCCCUUUUUAUGUCCAGUGGGCUCACACGCACCCACACGCAGACGUGGACUGUGCUUCCACUACAUUUCAUCUGGGCCAAGGACUCAACCUCGUAAAGAACAAAUCCCUUCAAAUUUCCCUAAUUUCCCUGCUUUUCCUUGUUGAGCUCAUUUCUGUCUUCCCACCGUGGAACCCCGCUGAAUACAGGACAAGCUCAGGUGUAGACUCGCUGUUCUAGGGCGCUGGCCGGCCUGGGUCUUGGAGGAGAGGAAGCCAAUCGAGUCAGAACGCGAGGGCUAUGGUGACAAAGUGCCACACACUGGAGGCCUUAACCAGGAGAAAUUCAGGGGCUCAGUGUCCUGGAGGCUGAGCCCGAAAUCAAGGUUGGUUUCAGGCUGGUUUCUUCUGGCGGUGGUGAGUGAAGUAUGUUCCAGGCCUCCCACGCUGGCUUUAGACGGCCAUCUCCUCUCAGUGUCGCUUCUCAUUGUCCCCUGUCUGUGUGUGGAUAUCUGUGUCCAAAUUUCUUUUUUUUUCAUAAGGCUAUCAGUCACCCUAAGGAUUUCACUUUAAUGCUUAGCUCUGUAAAUAAGGUCACAUUCUGAGGUACUGGGGAUUAGGACCCCAACAUGUCUUUUUGGAGGUGGACACAAACUCAUAACACCACAGAAACCCUCGUGAAUGGAGAAGCCGCUCACUGGCGCCUGAGAGGUGACUCUUCUGUGGAGUGCCAUCAGCUCUUCUGUAGACAGGGCCUCGACUACCUGGCUGGGGCCUUCAGGAAGCUCAUAGCAUCCUGAAAGCGCUGAUCUCAUGGGUGAACUGGUGUCACUGUUGCACACUGAGCUGGGUCUAAAGCCAGCCUCAGCUUUGGGGAAGCCUGCUGAGCUCCUGGCAGGAGAGGGACCUUCCCGUCCACCGUGGGCCUUGUGUGAGGCGUUUACCUCAGAGCUGCUGCUUUUCCCGGAGCAAAGCCCCUUGUUUGCUCUCACUGCAGGUGGGAGCAGGAUCUUACACAGAACACUCCAUAGAUUUAUCCAACACAUGUAGCAUUUGAGUUCAUUGGAGAGCUGGGCAGUGGUCCAGAAAAGAAAAACAAGGGCCAGCCAUUUGGAGGAUCUAAGGUAAAAAUUUAAUAAGGUGUAGUAAAUGUUCAUAGUAAUUUCAGGCUCAUAAAACCCAGCCUCCCACACCGUAUCCCCUUACUCAGACAAUAAAGCUCUCGUGCAGCUCCGUGUUCUGUCCCACACAAUCAAAAGCUGAGGACUCAGAAAAACACCCUUGCUUCUUGCUUUCUCUGGCGUGUAGUCACUGAAGAGCUUCAAAUCCACCUUCUCGUUCUCAUAAGGUUUUAAUAUUCUAAUUAGCAACAGAGGAUGGUGAAAGCAAGUGAGAAAUUCCAGUUUUUCCAUUGGUUCACAGAGACAAAGGAAUCUGGUCAGUCGUUGUGUAAUUUCCAGAGAACCACCACCUUUGCAAGCGGAAGACAAGGCCAGGGGCAAACCAGCCAGCAGGACCUCCUGCCUCUCCCAUUUCUGCGCUGGGAGUGUCUAUGGGAUUCGGCAGUGCUCGCUUGGGAGUCAGGGCCACUGUCUCCUGCUGCACUGGAACACGUUUUGCUCCUUCAGCCUAAUUUCAGGCGUCUGUUUUGCUAGAGCGAGAGCCUCCGUGUCACUGUUGGAAAUGACGGUUUGGUUUUUAGUCUUGCUAAGAUAUACCCUGCAUGUUGGAGAUGCAAACUUUGGCGUGCGGGCCAGUGAGGUAGGGACUGCGAGUGUAAUUGUGGUGUGAGAGGUAGCUGUUUGGGAAAGAAAGUGGAUCCGAUUUUCAAAAUAAAGUCAUUUGGCAAAGUGAGGACGCCUGGAUCCUGCUGGGGGCUGCGGGGGCAGCUGGGGGUUCCAAACCCUUCCACACUGCACACCUCGCAGUCUGCUACGGCUUAGGGCUGAAAGCCCGUGCACAUUGUUUCCGCCAUCGGCUUCUCUUGAUGUGUUGUGAGCACAUCAGUAAUGUUCCCCAGUGUGUUUAAGGUAAGAAGUGUCUGCAUAGGGCAUUUCACUGAGUCACCCCGUACACGGCAUCAGCUCCUCUUCUGCCAGGCUCCCCGGUGUCCUCCUUCAACAUAAGAGAUCCCACCUGCCCAUCGUGCUGUCUGUGCGGCGGGCUCUUGGUUUCUUUUCUCCUCGUUACCCACAUUCGUGUCUGUUUCCCACCAUUUAACUACCCUGUGUCAUGGUUUAUGUUUUAUUUUGGAAUUCUCCUCCCUCCACCGUCUUAGUGUCCGGCUUUGGUUUAACGAUCACACUCCUUUCAUUCCGAUACAGGGUUCUGGGGGAUUUCCACUGCUCACUGUGCCAUCAUUUGAUUUGUCUUCAUGUAAAACUCUCCCCCAUUGUUUUGUUUUAUUUUCUCUCUCCCGCUCGGGGUACAGUGGGAGGGUGUGUGUCCUCAGGCUGGCCCACAGGACGUUCCCAGCAGCCCUGGCCCUGGUGUUUCUGCCCUCUGCGUCGGUGGCUGCUCUGGUUCCCACGGACAGUGGAGUGUGCCACAGCCCGCUUCCGGUUUCUGCACAUCUGGCUCAGUUAUUCCCUCUGGAAACACCUCACUCUCCUCCCCAAAGCUGACUGCGCCUGUGCGUGUACUGUGCCUCGAUAGCCCCUCGGUAGGGCCCGCAGAUGUGGGACCCGAAGCCCACACAGGGUUAAGUAAUCGGCCAGAAGUUACUCACUGAGCAUGUCCGCGUCAGGAUUCCAGCCCGGACGCUGGAUGGGCAGAAGUGUUCUUGCUGUCCCUGUGACUGUAAGAGCCCUGGUGCAGGCUGCAGGCAGCCCAGUGCCCGGCGGGGAAAGACUCUGGUAGAGAUUUCGGGUCAUUUGGUAAAUAAACCACGCCUGACAUAAUGCCUGGCAUUCCAAGGGCACUUCUUACCGCAUGACUGUGCGUGAAGACUCCUGUUCUUUCUGCCAGCAGAAGUGAGGACGUCCACUGCUCAGGAAUCUGUGCACAUCUGAUAUGCCAGCGAAUUCAGAAGAGCCCAAGUUACCCUACAUUCCCUGUCUGUGAGACGUGUGCCCUGGUCUCAUUAGCUAUUCCAGACCAGCACCCAGCGCGUAACAGGGCACGGGCUCUGCUUUCAAAGAACUCUCCCCACUGGAUCCAGAACUCUUGGAAUCGAGGGUAGUAGACGCUCAUAGCAUUGAAUGAAUUGGCGUAUCUUGUUCACUCAUUCAUCAUUUCACAAACAUGUCUUGAGUGCCCGCAGGUGGCACUGUCCCAGGCUCUGCACUCAUCACUGGGUGUCCGUAAAAGACACACCCCAAGAAAACACUUCCGAUGUCUAGCUGAAACGUGACGGUUAAGUAGUUCCUUAAAGACUGUGCAAUUGCAAGCCAAGCUUCUAUUGGGAGUAAAAAAGGAGUCAAACUAGUUUUAAAGUUUUUAAAAGUAUGUUUACAAUUUUUAUUUGAAUUUAUAAUUAAACUGUAUCAUGAUUUUAAAAAUUACCACUCUCUUGGGUUAAAGUGAAUCACGCUCCUGGCUUUUGUGGGCUCCUCCGCUCCCAGAGGCAGAAGAUCAAGAGCUUUCUUUUCCUCCUGUUUUUUGUGUCUUCCAGAUUUUUAAUGGAGAUGCUGAAAUAUUUUUAAAAAAUUGGAUAUGUGUGCAUCUGUCACCUAUCAAGAAAGAAAUGUAAAAGGCAAAUAAUUCUAUGUGCUUUAUAUCAAAGAUAGCUUCUCCCUGUCCUCCCCUCCCCACUUUCUGGUGAGAGCUGCCUGUUCCCUGGUGAAGCUGAUAAAUGAAGAAGUGUCAGGGGAAGCACUUGCUGGUACGGCUGGGGGGGAUGACCCAAACCCUGAGCUUGCGGGGUUUGCGUAGAAGCACAUUAGACACACUCAUUUAUGUGGACGGGCAGCAUAACGUCAGAAAAUGAGCACUCGGAACUCAUGAUUGGCUCCCCAGACUCCCAAACACACCAAAAAUACUUGUUCAGUGUGUGUACAUUUUACAAGCCCUGG